GAUGAACGCUGGCGGCGUGCCUAAUACAUGCAAGUCGAGCGAACGGACGCGAAGCUUGCUUCUCUGAUGUUAGCGGCGGAAGGGUGAGUAACACGUGGAUAACCUACCUAUAAGACUGGGAUAACUUCGUGAAACCGGAGCUAAUACCGGAUGAUAUUUUGAACCGCAUGGUUCAAAAGUGAAAGACGGUCUUGCUGUCACUUAUAGAUGGAUCCGCGCUGCAUUAGCUAGUUGGUAAGGUAACGGCGUACCAAGGCAACGAUGCAUAGCCGACCUGAGAGGGUGAUCGGCCACGCUGGAACUGGGACACGGUCCAGACUCCGACGGGAGGCAGCAGUAGGGAAUCUUCCGCAAUGGGCGAAAGCCUGACGGAGCAACGCCGCGUGAGUGAGGAAGGGCUUCGGAUCGUAAAACUCUGUUAUUAGGGAAGAACAUAUGUGUAAGUAACUGUGCACAUCUUGACGGUACCUAAUCAGAAAGCCACGGCUAACUACGUG
rnacentral:rRNA from 1 species